GUCUUACCACUUGCCUACAUUCUUAUCACAUAACACUCUCUGGGUUUGCCAGGAUGCUUGCUGACAAGGUCUGUGAUGAUGGCCCUUCUCUGCUGAGGAAUUUUACUAACAAUUCCUACUCUCACCUCUGUAUAUACCCACGUAAUCUCAGAUCUUCUGCAAAAUGAAGAAUAUCUCCUGCCAUUAAAACACUGGGUAUGCUGAUGCAUUCAAUGAGAGAAUAUAAGGCUUCAUGAUGGCAUGGAAGUUAUUAUGGAUUUUCCAAAGUUACACUAGUAGGGAUGUUCAUCCUGGAGAAGAAUUACGGGGAGAAAGUGAUCACCUGUCUUUCUGUAUCUUUUAUUUCCAAGAUUCUGAGAUUCUUCAAAAAGAUCAAAGUAUAUUGAACUGUUUUAUACUUAUUAAAUGUUUGCUGAACUGAAUAGCUGACCGCCAUUCUGCCGAGACCAAGUACUCAGGAGGGCAACCUGUGUUCAAAAGAAACUGGUUAGUAGUCUUUGAUUCAGGAAUUUGG
rnacentral:lncRNA from 1 species